UACAGAGGGGGCAAGCGUUUGUUCGGAAUUACUGGGCGUAAGGACGGCGUAGGCGGCCUGCUAAGUCGAACGUGAAAUCCCCGGGCUCAACCCGGGAACUGCGUCCGAUACUGGUUGGCUUGAAUCCGGGAGAGGGAUGCGGAAUUCCAGGUGUAGCGGUGAAAUGCGUAGAUAUCUGGAGGAACACCGGUGGCGAAGGCGCAUCCUGGACCGGCAUUGACGCUGAGGCGCGAAAGCCAGGGGAGCAAACGGG
rnacentral:rRNA from 1 species